UUUUAGGUCGAAGCGAAGAAACUAUUCCAAAAACUGUUUACAAUACCAUUGAAAUUUUCCACCUUUAUCCUGGAAAAGUUGCCUUUGUCGAGAAGGGUACUAAUUGAGACAGAGAUGUAAGAUCACAAUGGGACAUGGGUAAAUCAUUUUAUGAUCGACAUGAAAAUAAAUACGAUUCUUAUUCAUUCAACUUCACAACCUCGGAUGGUCAUCCAGGACAAUUUGGAUGCCUUAUUAUGGUCGUCCCAAGUAUGCUGAAGCCGUCUUAGCAAGUUGUGUUAAAAUUGAUGAAUCAACUGUUGACGUCAAAGCAUGGUUCGUUUCAAUGACUACAGCAACUUCAGCAUCAGAUGAAGUUAAAAGUCUUAUUAAAUCGUUGACUGGACAAGAGUACCGCACCUUCUGUUGGGGAAACUUCUGUUAAUUCAAUCGUACAGAAUACAGAAUGAAAUUCAGCAAUUAAACUCUUCACAUAUUCAUUGUAAAACUACUUGAAUAAGAUAUUAAAUCAUUUUGCAUUA